AGCAGAAGAAGCCUCUGGUGGGAAAAAAAG
rnacentral:piRNA from 1 species